ACGCCUAAUACAUGCAAGUCGAACGAAGUAGCAAUACUUAGUGGCAGACGGGUGAGUAACAUGUGGGUAUCUUCCCUUUGGUGAGGAAUAACACGAGGAAACUUGUGCUAAUACCUCAUAAGUCUUUACGGAGAAAGCUUUAUGCGCCAUUGGAUGAGCCUGCACUUGAUUAGUUUGUUGGUGGGGUAAUGGCUUACCAAGACAAUGAUCAAUAGCUGAUUUGAGAGGAUGAUCAGCCACAUUGGGACUGAGACACGGCCCAAACUCCUACGGGAGGCAGCAGUAGGGAAUCUUGCACAAUGGGGGAAACCCUGAUGCAGCGAUGCCGCGUGAGUGAAGAAGGCCUUUGGGUUGUAAAGCUCUUUCGUCGGGGAAGAAAAUGACUGUACCCGAAUAAGAAGGUCCGGCUAACUUCGUGCCAGCAGCCGCGGUAAUACGAAGGGACCUAGCGUAGUUCGGAAUUACUGGGCUUAAAGAGUUCGUAGGUGGUUAAAAAAGUUGGUGGUGAAAUCCCAGAGCUUAACUCUGGAACUGCCAUCAAAACUUUUUAGCUAGAGUAUGAUAGAGGGAAGCAGAAUUUCUAGUGUAGAGGUGAAAUUCGUAGAUAUUAGAAAGAAUACCAAUUGCGAAGGCAGCUUUCUGGAUCAUUACUGACACUGAGGAACGAAAGCAUGGGUAGCGAAGAGGAUUAGAUACCCUCGUAGUCCAUGCCGUAAACGAUGUGUGUUAGACGUUGGAAAUUUAUUUUCAGUGUCGCAGCGAAAGCAAUAAACACACCGCCUGGGGAGUAC
rnacentral:rRNA from 1 species